rnacentral:rRNA from 1 species
GAUGAACGCUGGCGGCGUGCCUAAUACAUACAAGUCGAGCGAACAGACGAGGAGCUUGCUCCUUCGACGUUAGCGGCGGACGGGUGAGUAACACGUAGGUAACCUACCUAUAAGACUGGGAUAACUUCGGGAAACCGGAGCUAAUACCGGAUAAUAUUUCGAACCGCAUGGUUCGAUAGUGAAAGAUGGCUUUGCUAUCACUUAUAGAUGGACCUGCGCCGUAUUAGCUAGUUGGUAAGGUAACGGCUUACCAAGGCAACGAUACGUAGCCGACCUGAGAGGGUGAUCGGCCACACUGGAACUGAGACACGGUCCAGACUCCUACGGGAGGCAGCAGUAGGGAAUCUUCCGCAAUGGGCGAAAGCCUGACGGAGCAACGCCGCGUGAGUGAUGAAGGUCUUCGGAUCGUAAAACUCUGUUAUUAGGGAAGAACAAACGUGUAAGUAACUGUGCACGUCUUGACGGUACCUAAUCAGAAAGCCACGGCUAACUACGUG